GCUCUGUCUCCACGGCGGAACACUUCACGAAAGGAGCAGUUGGUAGCACAGCUUUCGCAUCAAAAUAGCAGACUGCUGCAGUAUUGGAAAAACACACAGUACUACUAUGAAUGAUGCGGUUCAUUCAGAAGUGUCAGAGGAUUGAGUUUGGAAUACACUCACACCCAUGGACCACUCUGCAAUGCCACUGCUAAUCAAGACAACAGGUCGAGUGCUGGAAAUCCCUGGAAAUGUAUCCCCUUUUGUAGAAGGCUCCCACUAAACAUAUAGCACUAUAGCAUCUGAUUUGAUGAAGUAAAAUAAUACGUUUGUACACACAAACACUUUCUGAAAUACAUUGCUGCAUGUCAUUAAAUCACAGUCAAGCACUUCCCAGGCAUUUACAAGGUGCAUUUUCAAGCUUAUCUAAAUCAAGUAAAAUGUGCCUUCAUUAAAUCAGCAGCAUGAAAAUAUACAUUGAACGUGCUUAAAUGUGAUUAUCCUGUGAAGUGAGGACAUAUGUGAAGUGAGACAUACAGCAAUGUCUUGCAGGACAUAGUUGAGCUAUUACUUUUCCCCCCUCAAACAUGUGAUGUAACAUUGGAAAAAUGCAAGUGCACACAUCAUUUGUUUCUAAUUGCUUUUUUAGUACUUUGUUUGAAUUGCCAUGUGUUUAUUAUGUUGAUCCCUGUAUUAUUUCUUGCACUCUAUAUAAAAGAAAAUGUGCAAUACAAAUAAAUUUGCUUUGCACUGCAUUUCCUUGCCUUUGUCUGACCACAAACAUAUGUUGGAUGUUUUGGUACAAACAGGUUACAAUGUUAGGUGAAACUAGACAUUGAGAAAUAGGUCUGUAUUUGUUACUCUUAUUUACAGCAGUUUCAGGUAGUAUGGCCAAACAAUAGUUUUUCUAUGCUUGACAUUACUUACAACUAAAACACUAAUUUAGAUGAAGUGUAAUGAACAUCUUGAGUAUCAAUAUCUAGGAGAAGUGGAGCUGAGGCUUUGUCAAAUCCACCCCUGAGGUGGGAUCCAAAUAAUCCUGAAAUCUGGUAUUAAAUUGAUCCAGAUCUCUGCCUUAACUUUUGAAAUACCCAAAUGCAGCCUUUAUCUGGAUUAAAGGGAGGAUUGGAUUACCAGAACUGAAUCCUGAUCCUCAGGAUCAGGAUCCUCUUGAUCUGUGUUGAAAUACCCAGUUUUCAGAUCAGAUCAGGAUUUAAUCCAAUCCGGCCAGGAUAAUCCUAUCAGAUCACUUUGAAAUACUGGGCCCAGAUGUUCAUCUGCGCUGUCUCCCGAUACGCCCCUCGGCCUCGUCAGAAAGGAGUGGUUUGACAUCCAGCUGUGUUUGGCUCAGCGUGGCAGGGAGGGGAACCGUGAGCUGACCAUGACAUCUUUCAGCAUCCAGAGACGAGGAUGGCGUUGAAUACGUCAGCCUAGCGCAUAAUCCUGACACUAAAAAUCAUAAAGAUCCAAACGACGCACACAAGCAAAACCUAAGAGGUUUUAUGUUCGUAAGGCCCGGGGAUCCCCUGUGCCCAGUAAAAAGUUUCAAGAAGUACAUCUCUAAAUGUCCCCCUAACGCAAAA